GCAGGGCAUCGGCAACGUGGAACGACACGACGACAUCCCCGGCAGCAGCAGUUCGACGGCAGCCCAGGGCAUCGGCAACACUUCUUUGGGAGUUCUGACUGAGAUUCAGCUGCCACCAAGGAUAAAGAGAAGGGGUCGCCCUAAAGGGGCACAACUGACAGUGGCUGGUCUCCCAAGAAAGAGCCAAAGGCAUGGGAAGUUGUUCAGCAAGAAGCACCCCCAAGAGAAGAGCAAAAUUAUCCUAAACUGGCUGGUUGGGGCAGAUGCAGCUGAAAAGGCCCUGAGAGGACAUGUUCUACUAGACGAGAGUGAAGUGGAAACCAAGCCAGAAAAUAUACCCAGUGCCAUUCUGGAUGAGAACGUAGAUGUUCUCAGUGUUAAAUUGUUCUUCACAGUAGAUGCGUGGCUAGUGGUAGAUGAUGUAUUAAAACAGAAGAAAAGUAACCCACAAUAUGCAUGCCCGAUAUGUUCUAAAUAUUUUAAUGAAGAUGAGGAAGAGAUAUCACUCUGUUGCGAUGGCUGCCUAAACUGGCAUCACCUAGCUUGCCUUCGCAAAAAACAACAACCACAUUCUAAAUGCUGGAUAUGCAAUGCAUGUCGUAGCCAGUGAUAUCAGCAGGCAAAAAAUGAUAGAUCUUUUUGGUUGGAUAAGUUUUGGUCAGAUUGGCAACCCUGUAUUUCAAAUAUUCAAUUUCAAAUUCAAUUUCAAAUUCACAAUGAGACUGUAAUAAGAAGCAAUGUUGAAAGUAACCCUAACCCUAACCCUAAGAAGCAAUGUUCACAUACUAAUCUUGUUAAGAUAUACUAACCUUGUUAAGACUAAACUAGUUGUGAUUGCAUUGUGCUGUUUAAUUUGUAAUAAACUGAUUGAUUGGAAUUUGUUGCAUAAGUAUUUUAUAUAUUCUGAGCAUUACUGUUAUUGCACAACAUUUAAAAAGGUUUGCAUAAUGAUAAUACAGACAACCUCAUUUAAUUCAUAUCAGACGGUACCACGGCAUUUUCAACAAAUUACGUAAUCAACGAAUUAGACCUCAUUCAUAUUUUCUACAAAUUCUAUGUAAUCCGUAAAAACCACGAAAUAGAUAGAUAAUUCGUGUAAACAACGAUUUAUGAAUGAAAGUUUUUACAAAGUUAUUUGUACAUAGCUGAACAGCUGGAUCACGCGUUCGCUCGUACGCACUUGUGUAACAUCUGUUAUUACAUACCAACUACGUCCCUACACUUGCUGUAUGCUACAUAAUAUGCACGCAUGUUAUACAGAAGCGAUGUAAAAUAACAUGUAUUUGUUCUACAUGUAUAAAGAUAAUUAUAUUGAAGUUUACACAUUUA